rnacentral:lncRNA from 1 species
AUAAUAAUAUACUAGUAGACUAAACCUAAAUAUAUUAUUAUAUAUAUAUUUAGGUUAUAAUGUAAAAUGUAUUGACUUUUGGGAUAUAAUACAAAUCGCGAUUUGGAGAAGAAACCGAUUCUCAUUUCUUCACAGCAGCUCUUCUUCUUUGAGCAAAUCUCCUCCCGUCGAUCCCUUCUAAUCAUCCUGGUAUCGGAGCAGAGUUCUUCAUCGGCGACGUCUAGUAACGGUGGAUCCAGUAGUGGAGAUGAUCGGGCAGACCGAAGGAGGCAUGAUCGGCGGCAGCGUCGGGAACACAAUCGGCAGAAAAUCUACGAUGAGUACCCCUACCCGGCGACAUUAAACAUUGGUAACUUCGUUUCAAUUUUUCUUUCUGCCGAUAAUUUCUUGCAAUGACGGACACCGAUGGUGAAUCUGUUAGAGGGACAAGACCUCAUUGAGUUUGUCGAUGGCUCAAUGACGGCACCCCUGAAGUUUAUUGAUGAGUCGGGGAGGGAAGUAGGGGUAUUAACUGAAAAUUUAAAUCAAACAGGGGUAUCAACUGAAAAUUCAAAAUAAUUAAACCCUAGGUUUAAAUUAUGGAGAAGGACUGUUCGACUAGUAAAAGGUUGGAUUACUAGUCGACUGUCUUCGACAACAUUGAGCCUUAUUACCGGGAUAGAAACAUCAAAAGGGGUAUGGGAUACAUUAAAAAAUACGCGUGCCCAAGAUUCAAUUGAAAGAGAGUUUUUACUGAGGGAAAAGAUACAACCUAAAAAAGAAUCUUCUAUGCCAAUUCAAGACUAUAUUAAUAGUCUGAAAAUUAUAUUUGAUGAAUUGAAUUUGAUAGAAAGAAUUUGAAUGGAUUAGGAGAGAAAUAUGAGUCUUUUAAGACUGUCACACUAAAACCACCAGUCCCAUCUUAUAAUUUUGUGGUUCCGCAACUCAUUAGUUAUGAUUUGAGGAAUGGGUUAACGACUGAAAAAAGUACUAAUUUAUUGUACAUGGAUAGGAAAAAUAAAGGGAAAUUUUAUAAAAAUAAAGGAAAAGGAAAAAAUGCUGAAUUUAAUUCUAGAGGUAGAGGUUUUAAGCCACAUAGAUCUAAUGAUGGCUGGAAACAAUACAAAGGAAGAUCAGAAGGUAGGAAUUUAUGUCAAAUCUGUAAUGGAUCAGGUCAUCAAGAAAUGGUCUGUCCUAAUAGAUUUGAUCACUCAGUUCCAGCUAAC